rnacentral:lncRNA from 1 species
UGGACAUUCACUGCUGUCUGGAACAGGACAAGGAGCCAUCCUGCCUUAUUUCAUCAGCUUGGCACAGCUACCACUGGUGCAAGAUCACAAAUGAUGAAACACCAUCCCUCAUUCCGAAGAGCAAAGAAACAAUAAUAUGACAAUCCACAGUUAAGGCUGGUGGUGGUGACAUAUGUGUUUUUCUAGGUCAGCUGUGCAGGAAAAGGACUAGUUAUUUGGAAUAAUU